rnacentral:lncRNA from 1 species
UUUGUGACCCAAAGAGGGCCGAGUCACACAGAUAAAUAGGACACCUCUGAUGGCUUCCACUCUGGACAGCAGCAAUGACCCCAGCCACCCUCACCCCAAAGCCAGGGAAACAUCAUCUUGUCAUCUCUGGAUUUUUCCUCACCCCCUUGGGUUAAAGCUGAGCAGACAGGGUGGCACUUCUGAAUUCAGAGGCUGCAAUGAGCUGAGAAAAACAAGCUUCUGUGGCCCCCUCCAGGACCCACCAGGUGACACACACAGCAGCAAGUGAGCCCUGCAGACAGAGACAUCCCAGAACCCCAGGCCUGGGACCAGCGCUCAGGAGCCAUCCUCUCAGCUAGAUUGCCUUCAGCCUGCCGGGAGGAGGAGCAGCCCAGCCUAGACUGAAAGCCUCCAAGGAGGAAGUUCUACCUGCUUCUCCAUGCCUCCAGACCCACUGUACCUUGUGCAUUUCAUCUGGAAUUUUCUUCUGUUGAAAGGAAGGUGCUGGGUGGGAGGAGGAGGGAGAGGAUCAGAAAAAAUAACUAAUAAAUACUAGGCUUAAUACCUGA